UACAGAGGGGGCGAGCGUUGUUCGGAAUUACUGGGCGUAAAGGGCGCGUAGGCGGCCUGCUAAGUCGAACGUGAAAUCCCUGGGCUCAACCCAGGAACUGCGUCCGAUACUGGUUGGCUUGAAUCCGGGAGAGGGAUGUGGAAUUCCAGGUGUAGCGGUGAAAUGCGUAGAUAUCUGGAGGAACACCGGUGGCGAAGGCGACAUCCUGGACCGGUAUUGACGCUGAGGCGCG
rnacentral:rRNA from 1 species